rnacentral:lncRNA from 1 species
AAGAGAGGAGGACAUUGUAGGGGAAGGCAAGAGCAAGAGCAAAGCCUGGAGGUGGGACUCUGCAUGCGGUGACGGGAGCAAGGGAAAGGCAGCCUUGGUUCCUCAUAUAUUGUUCUUGAAUCAGACAAAGAAAGUCUGUCUUUGAUGUGAGGCCAAUGUCACUAUCACAGAGAAGCCACCAGGCCAACUACAGAAACUGAGCCCAGGCCAAGGACUUAUGCUGCCCUCAGGUACCAGGGUGCCUGGGAGGAAGGAAAAAGAAAUAUUGUUAUCAAAUAUAUGGAGUACUUCUGUGUAUGAAAACAUUUCUAUAUGUUGCCCCUGUCAAUGAGAAAAUUGUUGCUCAUCUCACCCCUUCUCAAAGAAUCGUGAAGACCAAAUAAUAAUUACUGGUAUCAUGAUAAUAGCAGCAGUCAUUUAUUUGGGUGCAAACAUGUGCUGAAGAUAGAGCUGUGAGCCAGCAAGCAUUCUUAUACCCUGCCCCUCACCGAGAUAGUCAGAGCCAUUGUGUGCUCCCUGAUUGUACAGUGAGGAUGUUGGCCUACAGAGGAAAAAGGACUUGCUCAAGGUCACACAGUGGGCCAGCAGCAGAUGGGAUUAAAACCUGGGUUCUCCUGCCCACAGGUCACAGCCUGGCCUGAUACCACCCUGGCUCUGCAGCCAGACCCACAGAGGAUGAGUCCAGCCUUGGACCUCCACAGCGCCAUGUUUCUGAAGUUCGUCUGGCCGUGGUGCGUAUCAGGACUCCGUUUCUGAAGUUCGUCGGGGCCGUGGUGCGUAUCAGGACUCCGUUUCUGUAGUUCGUCCGGGCCGUGGUGCGUAUCAGGACUCCGUUUCUGAAGUUUGCCCGGGCCGUGGUGCGUAUCAGGACUCCGUUUCUGAAGUUCGUCCGGGCCGUGGUGCGUAUCAGGACUCCGUUUCUGAAGUUCGUCUGGGCCGUGGUACAUGUCAGGACUCCGUUUCUGAAGUUCAUCCUGGUUGUAGUAUCCGGAUUGUGGUAUAUAUGAGGACUGAAUUUCUUUAUAUGGCUGAAUAAUAUUCUACUGUGUGUAUUUACUACAGUUUGUGCAUUCAUCCACUCAUAGGACAUUUGGGCUGUCUCUACCUUUUGGCUAUUGUAAAUAAUGCCAUUAGGAACAUAUAUUUGAGUCCUUGUUUUCAACUCUUUCAAGUAUAUAUCUAGGGGUGGAAUUGCUGGGUCAUAUGGCAAUUCUGUGUCUAACUUUGUGAAGAAUCGCCAAACUAUUUUCUACCAUGGCUGUACCAUUUUACUUUUCUCCAGCCACGUCUAAAUUCUCUAAUGCAUUUUUACUUGGACCUGGAGAGUGGCUUAGUCCCUUCCUGGUCAUGAUGAGGGCUACUUGUCUGGAAGGAUAAUGAUGCCCAAAUAAAUGUAAAGGUGAAAGAUGGAGACAGUUCAAGUCACCUCUGAAACUUGACUCCAUCCUGUCUCCUUCUUUGUGGUUACACGAGUCAGGAAAUCCCUCCUUUUGUCUAAGCUGGCAAGUUGUGCUUCUGCCACCCAAAGAGUUUAGCCUGAUGUCCGCUCAGCGCUGGGUUCAGAAUCUUGUAUUUCAGGAUGCUCUAGGUAGAACCAUCUAUAAUGUCAGCCACCAAAUGCCAACCUAGAUCCUGCAACUGAAUCACUUUUUGGUUCCCUCUGCUCUUCCCCAGGUCCUGAGCUGAGAGCUCCAGACAGAACCCUAAGGAAAACUUGACCCCUGGCAGGUCACCUGAAUAAGAGAGCAAGCCCAAGAGGCUGGUGGCAAAGGCAGGCCCGAGGUAGGUUGGAGGAGGAGAAGCGGGCUGGGGUCCCCUGAGGACACUGUGGAAUAAGGAAAACGGAAGGGAGUCUGGAGGUCUGGCCAGGAGGAGGAGGAGGAGGAGGAAAAGGUGGAAAGAAAAACCCAGCAGAAUCACCAAUGUUUAGAUGGCCUUUCCCAGGGUAACUGAGACAGCUCGUCUGUCUGUGGCUAAACAUGAAGGUAACAUUUUUUUCAGGUUCUGAGAGGAAAUAACUCCAAUUUCAUUUUCUGGCUGGGAGAAAGGAAUGAAAAGUGAUGAAGAAGGGCAGUUUUGGAGACAGAGUCCAGGCCACUCUGAUCCCUUAAUUCUCUAGAAUCUCAAAUCUGAGAUCUGGGCCAUGGGAGCAGCACCCAGCCAGUUGUUUCUCUAAAUAGAAUCUGGACAGCAAGCACACUCAGG